GUCCUCACUUUGGCAGCAUACAUACUAAAGUCAGCCUGAUAGAGAGAAGAUUAUUGUGGCCUCUGCACAAGGAUGGCAUGUAAAUUCAUGAAGUAUUUCAUAAUUAA